GGAAGUUCUGGCUCAGAGUUUAAGGCUUUGGGCUCCUGAGCAGAAGGUCAUGAGUUCAAAUCCCAGCGCUUCCA